GGAACAUGGAAGAAUAUGUGGACUAUUUUGGGGAUCAUAUGUAGAAGAGGCAUACAUCUGUGAUUCUUAAUGAUUUACUAGAAAUAGUGAAAUGAAGGAAAAGACACGCACAAUAUAAACACAUUCUAAAAAUUCUAGAUUCAAUAGACGUAAAACUACUUUGUCAAAUUGUGAUAAAAGUUUUUAAAUUCUUACUAUCAAUUUCUACCUUUACGUCAUUGUGGACCAUCAAGAAACAAUUCAUGAAUGAGCAGUGUACCCCAGACCACACUUUGAGUAGUAUUGGCAUAUACUACUUUGGCCCAUUUUCCAUUGUGACAUCAUCUCAACCUAACUGCUAGAGAGAUUGGGAAAUGUUGUUUUCUUUUGUGCUCAGAAAAAGGAAAUAGAUUGGUGGGCUUCUAGUCCAUCUCUGCCACAGCUCUGCAAUGAAUUUAAAUUGAACUUAUUGCAUGCAUUGCUUAAUGUCCUUUGUGGUUAAACUAUUUCCUAAAUGGUACAACCUGAAUAUCUUAGUGUGACAAAUUUACUCACGAAAGGUCCCUCUAUCAUCAGGUUGGAGGAAGUCUUGACAAGGAAGUUGGCAAGACUGGAAUGCCACUCAGAACCCAGUUUCUUUCUGCCUUGAGAGUGAGAGCAAGGAGACGACACACAGUAAAAAGAGCCAGAAGCUCUCAGAGAUGACCACAGGAUGGAGAAUGUCAGGGGUAGUGCAGCGUGGUGCAAGAAGCUCCAGGUCUGGGGCCAGUUGGACAGGGUUUGAUUCCAACUCUGGCACCUGUCAGUGGAGCAGCCUCAGUGAUGCCUCUCAUCUUCACGUUCUUUGCUUGAUAGAACAACAUGGCUGUCCAAGCACCAGACUUCAUGGGAAAGGAGAGGAGAGCUCAGGGAGCUUCCUUUCUGACUAUUCCGUGAAGGAUUUUAUUCUCUGGAAAAAAUCAUUAAAUAAUAUCAGAAAUGGCCAGAACAAUAGAAAUGAAGUCAAUGAAGUCUCUCAUGGAAACCAAAAGUGUCUGUAGUUUAAACACUGAGUUUUGCAAUACAACGCUCUGUGAUGACGACAACAAAGAAGGAGGAAGAGGAGGUGCAUACAAAUUAAUGUGACAGUUAAUACAAGAGCCGCAAUGCAAUUAUUUCUGGAUAUCACUGGUAAUUUGAAAGUGGCUAUAUACUCCCAAGUCAUGUGUUUGACCAACAGUAUGUAAUUUGCAUUCAGUAGUGUGUACUCAAUCAUUUUCAACUAAAGCUUUGUCAUUUUAAUGUUGACAUUUAAGUUCCAAUUUGAAGCUGGUAUAAGACAAGACCAAAUGUAUGGAACCAACACCUCAACCCUAGUUACCUAGUGUAUGCAAAUAUUCCGUAGCCCAGGGAUCAGUCCUCUUUAAGAGUGGCAUCCAAAAGGGGUCUCCUCUUGUUUGAGAUGGCAAUGUUUUCCACAGACACAAGACCACGAGACAUUCACAUGCUUCCCCCCACUUCUUUCUGCUAUCAAAAUCUACUUAUGCUCCAAGGCCCCACUCACAUCUCACUUCCUCCAUGAGGCUUUCCUCAGCUAUUCUGGAACAUGUAACCAUUCCAUGUGCUGAAUUCCCAUAGACUUUAUUGUCUACAGUAUUUUUUGUUGUUAUUUUAUGAGAGCUUACAUUCCUAUGAGCAUGUUUUAACAUUUUUUGUCUUCUCAAAGGAAGAGGAUGAUUUAUUUCUGUUUUUUGGUGGGGGGAAGAUAUCCUUCAUUUAAUAUUUAACAGAAGCAAGACCUGGAUAAGUAGUCACUGCAAGGAUGUAAAGAGAUGUAAAUGACUAUUCCACUGCACUAUGUUUAGGACAAUGGUUUCUCUGAGUGAAUACAAGUGGGAGAAAGGUGAUAGAGGAAUAGUCAAGGAGUCAAGAAGUUUGCCUCUGAAAUCACAUCAAGGGUCUGGUGCAAAAGAAGAACCUUUAAAACUACUGGCUCAGCAGCUGGAAUUGAAGGAGUCUUCUAGGCAGCAAAAGGAGAUCAUUCUAUGUCAUUACACCAAGAUCAAGAGUUUGGUGAAGUGAGGUAGGAUAACUUUCUCUCUAAACCACCAGACCAGAGUUGAAAUGGCAGAGAUGAAUAAAUACUUACUUAUGCAUCACUUAGCUGUAGCUGCUGCAUAUUGGAGAACUUUCCAUAGAUAUAUGAAGAGCUAAUGUGACAGCCUAUUCCACAUGAGCCAUGUCAACUGCACAGGGAGUUAAUGGUCAUAUCUGGAAAUAUCAACUUGCAAUAUUAGCCUAGAUGAAAGCAAUUAUCAGACCAUGGUUCUAGGGGAGCACCUGUUGAGUUAUUCCUGUUGGAGUAAAGCUACUGAAACUGAAGUUGAGGUGUUGAAUUCUGCUAGAAAAUCUCAUAUAAGGAAUUAUCACCCUAAGGUUGUACAGCAUUUGAAAUUCAAAAGGAAGGUGUUACCUGCUAUCUUGCAUAAAUCUCUAACAAUUGCAAAUGGAAUAUAUUAUCGUCAGAUCCGAUUGCUUAUAUCCAAUCUUGCCUCAUCCCAGCAUUUGUAAAGGAGCAAAGAAGAUAAUCCCCUGGCUUCUGAGAGCUCACAUAUCAGCCAACAGAUUAAAUAUGAGAAUUGUAUUACCUGAAUGAGGACAGAAGGGCAAUGGACAAUCUCUAACAGAAAUGAAACACUUAAAUUAAGGAAAUGAAGUUCCUGUGGGAGGAUGUCAGUCACUACCAGCUGGCCAAGGACAGAUUUUAAACAAACUUUGGAAAUUUGGAAAUAAUAUGAGCAAUUUACUUUGGAGAGAAAAUUUGAGACAAUGGACACCGCCAAUUGUCCCAACCAGCCAGGUUUGGAUAAUCACAGAAUUCAAGAAUUCACAUAUAUGAUCUGGAGCCCAGUUGCUGAGUUGCUUUCCACAGGUAUUUUGUCAAUAAGAAAACAUUGCAAAUAUGACCAAUGAGUGGAGAAAGAAUCACUAACACACUUAAGGGAGAGAAUACGUGGAAAUAAACCCUAUAGAAAUCCAGAACAUGAAGGCCUUUAAGUGACUUCAGGGAGGAGGGAUGACCAAGGACCGAUUUUUACUGACCAACUGUCAAUUUGUAAUACUCCUUAAAAAACAGGCAAAACCAAAGCUAUAGCACAGAGUAGAAAUGAUUUGAUGAUGUAAUGCUUUUGCAUCUGAGCUUUUAAAGCUCUUAGAAAUCUUUUUAAGAAGAUUGAAGACUUCAAACAAAAGCCAGGCAGCCUCCGGAAUGGCCAAUUCUAAGUGGAAGACUAGAGUCCAGUCAUUCUCCAGGGAAAGGAACCUGAUUCCUCGGUGAGCCAGGCGCUGCUCUGCUUGGUCACUCUCAGAACAGAAGUCCAGGAGCAGCUCCAAGGCUUUCCUCAGGAUCUGGCCAUCAGGCCUCUCCCGAAUGAGUCCACCUCUCCCUCUGGAUCCCCAGAAAGAUGAUUAAAUGAGUCAUAAUUUAAGAAAGAAAAGGCUGGCAACUGGGACCUCAGCUUGAGGUCACGACUGUGUAUAAAGAAUGUGAGGAAAAGAAUCCAUCAUUCCAUUGAUUUCUUACAUCUUUCCCGUGGACUAGCAAUUUAAUGAAAAAUAGCCAAUUGUCCUGAAGGUGUUGCUCUUGGAAGGUGCCUGCAUACCAGGAAAGCCAUGAAUGCCGCAGGGACCUCAAGCAGACAAGACCCUGAAGGCAGGAGGUGCAAGAGAGCUGAGAAUCAUGCAGACUUCAGCGUUCCCACGUGCUCCCCAUCCCAGGGGAGAGAAAAAUUAAAAAAAAAAAAAAUUUCUUGACCUGGAGCUCCCUCUCUAGCUCUCCCUAGUAUCUUGCCAAUCCUUCCCACACUAAUUUCUUGAAAAGUCUUUCUGCUCUCUGUCCAUUCACUGCUCAGUGCACUUUACCGGAAGCGUUCAAAUCAGCUUACCAAUGACCUCCACAUUGCUAAAGCCAGUGAAGUUUUAAAAUUUCUUAUCUGACUGGACCUUUUUGUCUUACUUGGUAUUAUUCUUUCCUCCUUUUAAUGAUAAUAAUAAUAGAAUAAUAGCUAAUAUUACUGAGUAUUAAGUAUUUGCCACACAUUGUGCUAAACAUACAUUAAAACUCCACUUUUUUUCCUGAAAUGUAAAUUUGGCAUCUUCCUUGGUGAACAAACUAAGUUACAUGCUAUAUGGUGGCACGUGAGUGAAGAGUCCUCUUGGUGUGCUGCGUACAUAGGGACCAUGGAUCCUGCAGACCCUGUUGGAGAAUACAUCACUGAUCCCAAACCCCAUUUGCUGGUGGUACCAAGGCUCUGAUCUUAUCGCCCUCUCUGGCUGGGUGGUUUUGGGAAGGGACUAGAGCCCCCAGAGAAAGGCCUCAGAGAAGCAGAGACUAACUCAUCAGCAAUAAUAGAUGCCGGCAUGCUGUAUGAAACACCUACAACCUGAGAUUAUUUCAGUGACUGCCUGUCUUCCUUUUUCAUUCUGUUUCUCUCCACGAUAACUUUUGCUCUGAACUUUGUGCCACCGCACAGAGUACAGGUCAGCUAAGAACAGACUACCAGUUUAUACAUGACUUCAGUUCUAUUCUAGGAAGCAAAGGCCAUA
rnacentral:lncRNA from 1 species